rnacentral:lncRNA from 1 species
CCAGUCUAGCUAAGUCUAAUUGUGUGUCAUUGAAGAAGAAGGAAACUUUGAGUUGUAGAAAUGGAAAGACUUGGAACAGUGCACCUAAUUUGUCAUUCUUACACUCAAUUUCACCACUUUAUGUGUUGAACAAGUUUGUAUAGUGAAAACAAAGCAAAAUGGGUUGGAUUGAAUGCUUAGAAGUGUCAAAUUACAAAAAUCAUAGGGUGAGUAGCCAAAUUCUGCAGAAUGCUGGUUUCUGGUAUGCUACUCAAUGCCCUCUGCAUAAGGGGCGCCUAACGCCAGCUGCACUGGUCCUGUUCAUGCUUUCUGCCUGGUCACGCCCAACACCCUCCACCUAGGGGCGCUCAGUGUCAGCAGAAAACUCUGCAUAAUUGGGCUCGGUUUGCACAGUGUUUUGGCCCACUUAAAUCUUUCUAACCCUAAAAGGGCACCCUCACUUCUGAACCUCUCUCCCGCCCUCUCUUACUCCAUACUCAUACUCACCUUCAUCUCCUUUCAUAUUUUCUCCAUUCACCACAACCAUCCACUCAUUUUUCAUCACAUUUCAUCAUUCCACUCAUCUAAUCCACCAUUGUUUGUACAUUCAACCGUUAAGAAGGGUUGUUCUGUAACUGCCUUUGCGCCAUCAUCUCCUUCAUUCUCGUCACACCACCAUUGCUUCGUCUAAAGCAUUUUGAGGACGCGUAGCAACUCACCCAAGCCCUAGCUUUCGCACACCAAGUGCAUUCUUCCAACUUUUUUUCUCCAACUCAAGUAGGCAUUCCUAUGUUUACUUUUAUAGUCUUAGGUUGUUUUGUUUGUUGUUUCCGUGCCCGCAUUUUCAUUGUCUAUGGCCAACAAUGUGCAUUAUCUAUAAUGUUUGUAUGUUUAAGUGUAUGUGCAUACUCAUUUGAACUUUGUUUUGUUGACUGUCAUUGUUGUACAAGUCUGACGCUGGCCAAAGUGCUUCAAACCAGGCACGCAACUAUUUGCAUUUUGUGCAUUCAUGUUUC